rnacentral:rRNA from 1 species
UACGGAGGGUGCGAGCGUUGUCCGGAAUCACUGGGCGUAAAGGGCGCGUAGGCGGCCUGAUAAGUAGGGGGUGAAAUCCUGCGGCUUAACCGCAGGGCUGCCUUCUAAACUGUCAGGCUCGAGCACAGUAGAGGCAGGUGGAAUUCCCGGUGUAGCGGUGAAAUGCGUAGAUAUCGUUUGGAACGCCAAUGGUGAAAACAGGUUGCUGGGAGUGUGCUGACGCUGAGACACGAAAGCCAGGGGAGCGAACGGG